UAUUAGGUUGGUGCAAAAGUAAUUGCAGUUUUUGCCAUUAAAAGUUAAGGCAAAAACUGCAGUUAGUUUUGCACCAACCUAAUA
ensembl:miRNA